rnacentral:rRNA from 1 species
UACGGGGGGGGCAAGCGUUGUUCGGAAUUACUGGGCGUAAAGGGCUCGUAGGCGGCCAACUAAGUCAGACGUGAAAUCCCUCGGCUUAACCGGGGAACUGCGUCUGAUACUGGAUGGCUUGAGUUUGGGAGAGGGAUGCGGAAUUCCAGGUGUAGCGGUGAAAUGCGUAGAUAUCUGGAGGAACACCGGUGGCGAAGGCGGAUCUCUGGGCCUGUCCUGACGCUGAGGCGCGAAAGCUAGGGGAGCGAACAGG